rnacentral:rRNA from 1 species
GACGAACGCUGGCGGCGCGCUUAACACAUGCAAGUCGAACGGAAAGGCCUGCUUUCCCUUGUGGAUUGCGGGUACUCGAGUGGCGAACGGGUGAGUAACACGUGAGUGAUCUGCCCCCAACUUGGGUAUAAGCCUGGGAAACUGGGUCUAAUUCCCGAUAGGACUGCAGGGUGGUGCCUGUGGUGGAAAACGAUUUUCUGGUGGUUGGGGAUGAGCUCGCGGCCUAUCAGCUUGUUGGUGGGGUAAUGGCCUACCAAGGCGGCGACGGGUAGCCGGCCUGAGAGGGUGGACGGCCACAUUGGGACUGAGAUACGGCCCAGACUCCUACGGGAGGCAGCAGUGGGGAAUAUUGCACAAUGGGCGGAAGCCUGAUGCAGCGACGCCGCGUGGGGGAUGACGGCCUUCGGGUUGUAAACUCCUUUCGACCGCGAGGAAGCCACCUGGUUGGAAGGGUGGUGACGGUAGUGGUAGAAGAAGCACCGGCUAACUACGUG